UUUUAUUUUUGAAGUGGCGGUAAAGCCGUAAUUUUCAAUCAGCGGAUCUAUAUUUUUCCCUUGCCGCUUUUUCAUGCUGGAAGCUUGUAAUUCACAAUGUUCCAUUCAAUUCAAAUUGACUGAAAAGCAACGUGUAUUCAUUUCUUUUAAAUUUUCGUUCAUUUUGAAAGACAGUUUUACUUCGGAGUUCCCGUUUGUUCAUGCGGAAGGUCCCAUCACCAUUAGUCAUUACGAUUCUCGUUCUUGAAAGUUUAUUGUCACUUUC
rnacentral:lncRNA from 1 species